CGGGAGGCUGCAGUAGGGAAUCUUCCACAAUGGGCGAAAGCCUGAUGGAGCAACGCCGCGUGUGUGAUGAAGGCUUUCGGGUCGUAAAGCACUGUUGUAUGGGAAGAACAGCUAGAAUAGGAAAUGAUUUUAGUUUGACGGUACCAUACCAGAAAGGGACGGCUAAAUACGUGCCAGCAGCCGCGGUAAUACGUAUGUCCCGAGCGUUAUCCGGAUUUAUUGGGCGUAAAGCGAGCGCAGACGGUUUAUUAAGUCUGAUGUGAAAGCCCGGAGCUCAACUCCGGAAUGGCAUUGGAAACUGGUUAACUUGAGUGCAGUAGAGGUAAGUGGAACUCCAUGUGUAGCGGUGGAAUGCGUAGAUAUAUGGAAGAACACCAGUGGCGAAGGCGGCUUACUGGACUGCAACUGACGUUGA
rnacentral:rRNA from 1 species